AUUGAACGCUGGCGGCAUGCUUUACACAUGCAAGUCGAACGGUAACAGGUUAAGCUGACGAGUGGCGAACGGGUGAGUAAUGCAUCGGAACGUGCCCGGUCGUGGGGGAUAACGCAGCGAAAGCUGCGCUAAUACCGCAUACGAUCUGAGGAUGAAAGCGGGGGACCGUAAGGCCUCGCGCGAUCGGAGCGGCCGAUGUCAGAUUAGGUAGUUGGUGGGGUAAAGGCUCACCAAGCCAACGAUCUGUAGCUGGUCUGAGAGGACGACCAGCCACACUGGGACUGAGACACGGCCCAGACUCCUGCGGGAGGCAGCAGUGGGGAAUUUUGGACAAUGGGCGAAGGCCUGAUCCAGCAAUGCCGCGUGCAGGAAGAAGGCCUUCGGGUUGUAAGCUGCUUUUGUACGGAGCGAAAAGGUCUCCUCUAAUACAGGGGGCUCAUGACGGUACCGUAAGAAUAAGCACCGGCUAACUACGUGCCAGCCGCCGCAGUAA
rnacentral:rRNA from 1 species